rnacentral:rRNA from 1 species
UACGGAGGGGGCUAGCGUUGUUCGGAAUUACUGGGCGUAAAGCGCACGUAGGCGGACUGUUAAGCCGGGGGUGAAAUCCUGGGGCUCAACCUCAGAAUUGCCUCCGAUACUGGCAGUCUCGAGUGCGGGAGAGGUGAGUGGAAUUCCCAGUGUAGAGGUGAAAUUCGUAGAUAUUGGGAAGAACACCAGUGGCGAAGGCGGCUCACUGGCCCGUAACUGACGCUGAGGUGCGAAAGCGUGGGGAGCAAACAGG